rnacentral:rRNA from 1 species
CCUACGGGAGGCAGCAGUGGGGAAUAUUGCACAAUGGGCGCAAGCCUGAUGCAGCGACGCCGCGUGCGGGAUGGAGGCCUUCGGGUUGUAAACCGCUUUUGUUCAAGGGCAAGGCACGGUCUUUGGCCGUGUUGAGUGGAUUGUUCGAAUAAGCACCGGCUAACUACGUGCCAGCAGCCGCGGUAAUACGUAGGGUGCAAGCGUUAUCCGGAUUUAUUGGGCGUAAAGGGCUCGUAGGCGGUUCGUCGCGUCCGGUGUGAAAGUCCAUCGCUUAACGGUGGAUCCGCGCCGGGUACGGGCGGGCUUGAGUGCGGUAGGGGAGACUGGAAUUCCCGGUGUAACGGUGGAAUGUGUAGAUAUCACGAAGAACCCCGAUUGCGAAGGCCGCCUGCCGCAGCGUUACUGACGCUGAAGCUCGAAAGCGCGGGUAUCGAACAGGAUUAGAUACCCUGGUAGUC